UGCUCGAGUGGCGAACGGGUGAGUAACACGUGAGUAACCUGCCCUUGACUCUGGGAUAACUUCAGGAAACUGGGGCUAAUACCGGAUAGGAGCUCCUGCUGCAUGGUGGGGGUUGGAAAGUUUCGGCGGUUGGGGAUGGACUCGCGGCUUAUCAGCUUGUUGGUGGGGUAGUGGCUUACCAAGGCUUUGACGGGUAGCCGGCCUGAGAGGGUGACCGGCCACAUUGGGACUGAGAUACGGCCCAG
rnacentral:rRNA from 1 species